rnacentral:rRNA from 1 species
UACGUAGGGUGCAAGCGUUGUCCGGAAUUAUUGGGCGUAAAGAGCUCGUAGGCGGUCUGUCGCGUCUGCUGUGAAAACUCAGGGCUUAACCCUGAGCUUGCAGUGGGUACGGGCAGACUAGAGUGCGGUAGGGGAGACUGGAAUUCCUGGUGUAGCGGUGAAAUGCGUAGAUAUCGGGAGGAACACCUAUGGGCGAAAAGCAGCUGCCUGGGCCUUUACUGACGCUAAGGACUCGAAAGCUAGGGGAGCAAACAGG